ensembl:lncRNA
GUGGAGGCUAUAUACAGGGGGUACUGGUACAGAGUCAAUGUGGAGGCUAUAUACAGGGGGUCCUGGUACAGAGUCAAUGUGGAGGCUAUAUACAGGGAGACUGGUACAGAGUCAAUGUGGAGGCUAUAUACAGGGGGUACUGGUACAGAGUCAAUGUGGAGGCUAUAUACAGGGGUACAGAGUCAAUGUGGAGGCUAUAUACAGGAGUACUGGUACAGAGUCAAUGUGGAGGCUAUAUACAGGUGUACUGGUACAGAGUCAAUGUGGAGGCUAUAUACAGGAGUACUGGUACAGAGUCAAUGUGGAGGUUAUAUACAGGGGGUACCGGUACAGAGUCAAUGUGGAGGCUAUAUACAGGGGGUCCUGGUACAGAGUCAAUGUGGAGGCUAUAUACAGGGGGUCCUGGUACAGAGUCAAUGUGGAGGCUAUAUACAGGUGGUACCGGUACAGAGUCAAUGUGGAGGCUAUAUACAGG